rnacentral:rRNA from 1 species
AGCCACCUUCGGGUGGUGGACAGUGGCAGACGGGUGAGUAACGCGUGGGAACGUGCCUUUCGGUUCGGGAUAACCCAGGGAAACUUGGGCUAAUACCGGAUACGCCCUUCGGGGGAAAGAUUCAUUGCCGAAAGAUCGGCCCGCGUCGGAUUAGCUUGUUGGUGGGGUAAUGGCCUACCAAGGCGGCGAUCCGUAGCUGGUCUGAGAGGAUGACCAGCCACACUGGGACUGAAACACGGUCCAUACACCUACGGGUGGCAGCAGUAGGGAAUAUUGCUCAAUGGGCGAAAGCCUGAAGCAGCAACGCCGCGUGUGCGAUGAAGGCCUUCGGG